rnacentral:rRNA from 1 species
UCAGAUUGAACGCUGGCGGCAUGCUUUACACAUGCAAGUCGAACGGUAACAGGCCGCGAAGGUGCUGACGAGUGGCGAACGGGUGAGUAAUAUAUCGGAACGUGCCCGGUCGUGGGGGAUAACGUAGCGAAAGCUACGCUAAUACCGCAUACGAUCUACGGAUGAAAGCGGGGGAUCGCAAGACCUCGCGCGAUUGGAGCGGCCGAUAUCAGAUUAGGUAGUUGGUGAGGUAAAGGCUCACCAAGCCGACGAUCUGUAGCUGGUCUGAGAGGACGACCAGCCACACUGGGACUGAGACACGGCCCAGACUCCUACGGGAGGCAGCAGUGGGGAAUUUUGGACAAUGGGCGCAAGCCUGAUCCAGCAAUGCCGCGUGCAGGAUGAAGGCCUUCGGGUUGUAAACUGCUUUUGUACGGAACGAAACGGUGAGCUCUAAUACAGUUUGCUAAUGACGGUACCGUAAGAAUAAGCACCGGCUAACUACGUG